rnacentral:rRNA from 1 species
GACGAACGCUGGCGGCGUGCUUAACACAUGCAAGUCGAACGGAAAGGCCUCUUUCGGGGGGUACUCGAGUGGCGAACGGGUGAGUAACACGUGAGUAACCUGCCCUUGACUUUGGGAUAACUUCAGGAAACUGGGGCUAAUACCUGAUAGAAGCUCCUGCUGCAUGGAUGGUGUUGGAUAGUUUCGGCGGUUGGGGAUGGACUCGCGGCUUAUCGGCUUGUUCGUGGGGGAGUGGCUUACCAAGGGUUUGACGGGUAGCCGGCCUGGGAGGGUGGCCGGCCACAAUGGGACUGAGGGACGGCGCAGACGCCAACGGGACGCAGCGGGGGGGAGUAUGGCGCAACGGGUGGGAGCCUGAUGCAGCGACGCCGUGGGCGGGAUGACGGGCUUCGGGUUGUGAACCGGUUUCGCUCAUGGCGAGGCUUUGUGUGACGGUAGUGGGUAAAGAAGCACCGGCUAACUACGUG